rnacentral:misc_RNA from 1 species
GUCAGAUGUGUAUAAGGGACAGGUGAAUCAUCGAAUCUUUGAACGCACAUUGCGCCCUCUGGUAUUCCGGGGGGCAUGCCUGUUCGAGCGUCAUUAUAACCACUCACGCCUUCGCGUGGUAUUGGGGUUCGCGGUCUCGCGGCCCCUAAAGCUAGUGGCGGUGCCUGUCGGCUCUACGCGUAGUAAUACUCCUCGCGAUUGAGUCCGGUGGGUGACUAGCCAGCAACCCCUAAAUUUUUCAGGUUGACCUCGGAUCAGGUAGGGAUACCCGCUGAACUUAAGCAUAUCAAUAAGCGGAGG